GACGAACGCUGGCGGCGUGCCUAAUACAUGCAAGUCGAACGAAAGCGCCCGGUGCUUGCACUGGUCAAUCUAGUGGCGAACGGGUGAGUAACACGUGGGUAACCUGCCCAUCAGAGGGGGAUAACAUCCGGAAACGGAUGCUAAAACCGCAUAGGUCUUCGAACCGCAUGGUUUGAAGCGGCAAAGAGGCGCAGGCUACUGCGGAUGGAUGGACCCGCGGUGCAUUAGCUAGUUGGUGGGGUAACGGCUCACCAAGGCCGUGAUGCAUAGCCGACCUGAGAGGGUGAUCGGCCACAUUGGGACUGAGACACGGCCCAAACUCCUACGGGAGGCAGCAGUAGGGAAUCUUCCGCAAUGGACGAAAGUCUGACGGAGCAACGCCGCGUGAGUGAAGAAGGUCUUCGGAUCGUAAAACUCUGUUGUUAGAGAAGAACAAGUGCUAGAGUAACUGUUAGCGCCUUGACGGUAUCUAACCAGAAAGCCACGGCUAACUACGUG
rnacentral:rRNA from 1 species